GACGAACGCUGGCGGCGUGCUUAACACAUGCAAGUCGAACGGAAAGGCCCCUUUGGGGGUACUCGAGUGGCGAACGGGUGAGUAACACGUGAGUAACCUGCCCUUGACUUCGGGAUAACUUCAGGAAACUGGGGCUAAUACCGGAUAGGAAUCCUAGCUGCAUGGUGGGGGUUGGAAAGCUUCGGCGGUUUUGGAUGGACUCGCGGCUUAUCAGCUUGUUGGUGGGGUAGUGGCUUACCAAGGCUUUGACGGGUAGCCGGCCUGAGAGGGCGACCGGCCACAUUGGGACUGAGAUACGGCCCAGACUCCUACGGGAGGCAGCAGUGGGGAAUAUUGCACAAUGGGCGGAAGCCUGAUGCAGCAACGCCGCGUGCGGGAUGACGGCCUUCGGGUUGUAGACCGCUUUCAGCAGGGGCGAAGCUUGUGGUGACGGUACCUGCAGAAGAAGCACCGGCUAACUACGUG
rnacentral:rRNA from 1 species